CCCCUAGAUGUUCUGGGCCGCACGCGCGCUACACUGAACAGUUCAACAAGUCUUAACCUUGGCCGAUAGGUCUGGGUAAUCUUUGAACGCUGUUCGUGAUUGGGAUAGACCUUUGCAAUUAUGGGUCUUCAACGAGGAAUUCCUAGUAAACGCAAGUCAUCAGCUUGCAUUGAUUACGUCCCUGCCCUUUGUACACACCGCCCGUCGCACCUACCGAUUGAAUGGUCCGGUGAAAUCUCGGGACGGCGGCUUGGUCGCUUGCGUCCGACUGCUGAAACUUGAUUAAACCAUAUCAUUUAGUGGAAGGUGAANUCGUANCA
rnacentral:rRNA from 1 species